AGUGAACGCUGGCGGUAGGCCUAACACAUGCAAGUCGAACGGCAGCACAGUAAGAGCUUGCUCUUACGGGUGGCGAGUGGCGGACGGGUGAGGAAUACAUCGGAAUCUACUUUUUCGUGGGGGAUAACGUAGGGAAACUUACGCUAAUACCGCAUACGACCUACGGGUGAAAGCAGGGGAUCUUCGCACCUUGCGCGAUUGAAUGAGCCGAUGUCGGAUUAGCUAGUUGGCGGGGUAAAGGCCCACCAAGGCAACGAUCCGUAGCUGGUCUGAGAGGAUGAUCAGCCACACUGGAACUGAGACACGGUCCAGACUCCUACGGGAGGCAGCAGUGGGGAAUAUUGGACAAUGGGCGCAAGCCUGAUCCAGCCAUACCGCGUGGGUGAAGAAGGCCUUCGGGUUGUAAAGCCCUUUUGUUGGGAAAGAAAAGCAGCAGGUUAAUACCCCGCUGUUCUGACGGUACCCAAAGAAUAAGCACCGGCUAACUUCGUG
rnacentral:rRNA from 1 species